AUUGAACGCUGGCGGCAGGCCUAACACAUGCAAGUCGAACGGUAACAGGAAGAAGCUUGCUUCUUUGCUGACGAGUGGCGGACGGGUGAGUAAUGUCUGGGAAACUGCCUGAUGGAGGGGGAUAACUACUGGAAACGGUAGCUAAUACCGCAUAACGUCGCAAGCCCAAAGAGGGGGACCUUCGGGCCUCUUGCCAUCGGAUGUGCCCAGAUGGGAUUAGCUAGUAGGUGGGGUAACGGCUCACCUAGGCGACGAUCCCUAGCUGGUCUGAGAGGAUGACCAGCCACACGGGAACUGAGACACGGUCCAGACUCCUACGGGAGGCAGCAGUGGGGAAUAUUGCACAAUGGGCGAAAGCCUGAUGCAGCCAUGCCGCGUGUAUGAAGAAGGCCUUCGGGUUGUAAAGUACUUUCAGCGGGGAGGAAGGGAGUAAAGUUAAUACCUUUGCUCAUUGACGUUACCCGCAGAAGAAGCACCGGCUAACUCCGUG
rnacentral:rRNA from 1 species